GCAAACUUGGUCAUUUAGAGGAAGUAAAAGUCGUAACAAGGUUUCCGUAGGUGAACCUGCGGAAGGAUCAUUACUGAAGCAAACUAGGCUUUGGAUUGAGCUGCCUGUUCGUAGGAUGUGCUCGUCUCUAGUCUAUUCUUCUAUCUCCCACUGUGCACCUUUUGUAGGAACUGUCUUGACGGCUUCUCAGUUAGAGACUCCUUGAUGGCUCGUCUAGCUUGGACCAUUCCAUGCUUGCUUGCUGUUGGGCCGAUCUCUGGUAGCUGUUGGUCAGAUUCUACGUUCUACAUAUACUACUUAAAGUCUAUGAAUGUUUGAUCAUCGGUCUUUACAGACUCGAUAUAACCCUAUACAACUUUCAGCAACGGAUCUCUUGGCUCUCGCAUCGAUGAAGAACGCAGC
rnacentral:misc_RNA from 1 species